rnacentral:misc_RNA from 1 species
UAGGGAGACCAAACUUCGGUUGAGCUAACCCCAAUUUACAAGCCAACUGAGGUCAUCCCAGGUCGUGCGAGGAAUUGAGUAACUACUAGGCUUUCAAACUUUCGGUUCGGAUAUUAUUAAAUACUUAACUACUGAAUCUCUCUUUAAAAAAGAGAUAAACAGUGCAGCACCUAAAAUUCUAAUAAAAGAGGCUUUAGGAUGCUGGACGAAAGUUCAGUCAGAACCUGGAAAACUGCAUAGAGAAUCAGGCAAAAGGUAAGACCGUAACAGACUUUUCAAAUGAGA